GAGCGGUGGCGGCAGCUACACAUGCAAGUCGACGAACUCUUCGGAGUUAGUGGCGGACGGGUGAGUAACACGUGGGAACGUGCCUUUAGGUUCGGAAUAACUCAGGGAAACUUGUGCUAAUACCGAAUGUGCCCUUCGGGGGAAAGAUUUAUCGCCUUUAGAGCGGCCCGCGUCUGAUUAGCUAGUUGGUGAGGUAAUGGCUCACCAAGGCGACGAUCAGUAGCUGGUCUGAGAGGAUGAUCAGCCACAUUGGGACUGAGACACGGCCCAAACUCCUACGGGAGGCAGCAGUGGGGAAUCUUGCGCAAUGGGCGAAAGCCUGACGCAGCCAUGCCGCGUGAAUGAUGAAGGUCUUAGGAUUGUAAAAUUCUUUCACCGGGGACGAUAAUGACGGUACCCGGAGAAGAAGCCCCGGCUAACUUCGUGCCAGCAGCCGCGGUAAUACGAAGGGGGCUAGCGUUGCUCGGAAUUACUGGGCGUAAAGGGAGCGUAGGCGGACAUUUAAGUCAGGGGUGAAAUCCCGGGGCUCAACCUCGGAAUUGCCUUUGAUACUGGGUGUCUUGAGUAUGAGAGAGGUGUGUGGAACUCCGAGUGUAGAGGUGAAAUUCGUAGAUAUUCGGAAGAACACCAGUGGCGAAGGCGACACACUGGCUCAUUACUGACGCUGAGGCUCGAAAGCGUGGGGGAGCAAACAGGAUUAGAUACCCUGGUAGUCCACGCCGUAAACGAUGAUUGCUAGUUGUCGGGAUGCAUGCAUUUCGGUGACGCAGCUAACGCAUUAAGCAAUCCGCCUGGGGAGUACGGUCGCAAGAUUAAAACUCAAAGGAAUUGACGGGGGCCCGCACAAGCGGUGGAGCAUGUGGUUUAAUUCGAAGCAACGCGCAGAACCUUACCACCUUUUGACAUGCCUGGACCGCCACGGAGACGUGGCUUUCCCUUUCGGGGACUAGGACACAGGUGCUGCAUGGCUGUCGUCAGCUCGUGUCGUGAGAUGUGGGGUAAGUCCCGCACGAGCGCACCCUCGCCAUAGUGCAUCAUUUAGUGGGACUCUAAUGCACUGCGUGCUAGCGAGAGGUGGGGAUGACGUCAGUCCUCAUGGUCCUAACAGGUGGCCUACCCACGUGCUACAAUGCGAACUACGAAGGUUAAUUCCUUUAAAAGGUCCGCUCUCAGGUUCCGGAAUGC
rnacentral:rRNA from 1 species